UACGAAGGGGGCUAGCGUUGCUCGGAAUCACUGGGCGUAAAGGGUGCGUAGGUGGAUCUUUAAGUCAGGGGUGAAAUCCUGGAGCUCAACUCCAGAACUGCCUUUGAUACUGAGGAUCUUGAGUUCGGGAGAGGUAAGUGGAACUGCGAGUGUAGAGGUGAAAUUCGUAGAUAUUCGCAAGAACACCAGUGGCGAAGGCGGCUUACUGGCCCGAUACUGACACUGAGGCACGAAAGCGUGGGGAGCAAACAGG
rnacentral:rRNA from 1 species